rnacentral:rRNA from 1 species
GCCGGAGGUCACUGCUAUUGGGAUUCGAUUCAUCCACGCGAGUCGAGAGGGUUCGGCCCUCGGCAGACUGCUCAGUAACACGUGGAUAAUCUGCCCUUAGGUGGAGCAUAACCUCGGGAAACUGAGAAUAAUACUCCAUAAGUUUAGGAUGCUGGAAUGCGCCUAAACUCAAAGAUUUAUCGCCUAAGGAUGAGUCUGCGGACUAUCAGGUUGGAGUCAGGGUAAUGUCCUGACUAGCCUACAACGGAUACGGGUUGUGAGAGCAAUAACCCGGAGAUGAUGUCUGAGACACGACAUCGGGCCCUACGGGGCGCAGCAGGAGCGAAACCUUCACACUGUGCGAAAGCGCGAUGAGGGGAUCCCAAGUGCUUGCUCUUAGGAGUAAGCUGUUUUCCUGUUUAACUCGCAGGAAGAGGAAGGGCUGGGUAAGACGGGUGCCAGCCGCCGCGGUAAUACCUGCAGCUCAAGUGGUGACCGCUAUUAUUGGGCCUAAAACGUCCGUAGCCGGCUGAGUAGAUGCCUGGGUAAAUCGUGUCGCUUAACGAUACGAAUUCCGGGUAGACUGCUUAGCUUGAGACUGGGAGAAGCUAGAGGUACUCCUGGGGGUAGAAGGUGAAAUUCUGUAAUCCUGGGGGGACCACCAGUGGCGAAAGCGUCUAGCUAGAACGGGUCUGACGGUGAGGGACGAAACCCUGGGGCGCGAACCGGAUUAGAUACCCGGGUAGUCCAGGGCGCAAACGCUGCUUGCUUGAUGUUAGCUGGGCUCCGAGCUCAGCUAGUGUCGGAGAGAAGUUGUUAAGCAAGCUGCCUGGGAAGUACGAUCGCAAGAUUGAAACUUAAAGGAAUUGGCGGGGGAGCACAGCAACGGGAGGAGCGUGCGGUUUAAUUGGAUUCAACGCCGGAAAACUCACCGGAGGCGACGGUUACAUGAAGGCCAGGCUGAUGACCUUGCCUGAUUUUCCGAGAGGUGGUGCAUGGCCGCCGUCAGUUCGUACCGUAAGGCGUUCUGUUAAGUCAGAUAACGAACGAGACCCUCAUCCUUAAUUGCUACUGACAACUUUGGUUGUUGGGCACAUUAAGGAGACCGCUGACGAUAAGUCAGAGGAAGGCGAGGGCAACGGUAGGUCAGUAUGCCCUGAAUCCUCCGGGCUACACGCGCGCUACAAAGGCAGGACAAUGGGUUUCGACACCGAAAGGUGAAGGUAAUCCCGAAACCUGGUCAUAGUUCGGAUUGAGGGCUGAAACUCGCCCUCAUGAAGCUGGAUUCCGUAGUAAUCGCGGAUCAACAUCCCGCGGUGAAUAUGCCCCUGCUCCUUGCACACACCGCCCGUCAAACCAUGCGAGUUGGGUCCAAGUGAGGAUGUAGUUUUUUGCUACGUUCAAACUUGGGCUUAGCAAGCGGGGUU